rnacentral:rRNA from 1 species
GACAGAGGGUGCAAACGUUUGUUCGGAAUUACUGGGCGUAAAGCGCGUGUAGGCGGCUACGUGUGUCGGGCGUGAAAGCCCACGGCUCAACCGUGGAAGUGCACCCGAAACUGCGUAGCUAGAGUCCUGGAGAGGAAGGUGGAAUGCUUGGUGUAGAGGUGAAAUUCGUAGAUAUCAAGCGGAACACCGGUGGCGAAGGCGGCCUCUGGACAGUGACUGACGCUGAGACGCG